ACUGUGAUGGCAGAGUGGUUAAGGUGUUGGACUUGAAAUCCAAUGGGGUUUCUCCUCGUAGGUUGAAACCCUAUUCACUGCG
rnacentral:tRNA from 1 species